CAAUAGCGUAUAUUAAAGUUGUUGCAGUUAGAACGCUCGUAGUCGGAUUUCGGGGCGGGGCGACCGGUCUGCCGAUGGGUAUGCACUGGUCGGCGCGUCCUUCCUUCCGGAGACCGUUCCUACUCUUAACUGAGCGGGGGCGGGAGACGGAUCGUUUACUUUGAAAAAAUCAGAGUGUUUCAAGCAGGCAGCUCGCUCUUGCAUGGAUUAGCAUGGGAUAAUGAAAUAGGACUUUGGUGCUAUUUUGUUGGUCUCGAACACCGAAGUAAUGAUUAAAAGGGACAGUCAGGGGCACUCGUAUUCCGCCGAGAGAGGUGAAAUUCUCAGACCAGCGGAAGACGAACCACUGCGAAAGCAUUUGCCAGGGAUGUUUUCACUGA
rnacentral:rRNA from 1 species